rnacentral:pre_miRNA from 1 species
AAUACAAGAGAUUAUGAGUUUUCGUUUGCAAUAUUUGACCACUUGUCUUAUUUAAAAAAUUUUGAAAUUAUUAUUUAUUUUAUUUGUGACUUACUUUAUUAUAUACAGUACUUUACGCACAACUUUUCAUUUUUUAUAUUUAAAAAAAAAUUAAAUAAGACGAGUGGUCAAACGUUACAAGCAAAAACUCAAAAUCCCUUAUA